AUGAAAUGUCAUUAAAUAACGGCAUUUGGUUUCAAAAUAGAAGUUCUAUUGGAGAUCAUGACAAAAUCGGACAGUAUUACUUGUAUCUCAUUACAAGAUUUGAAUUUGUUAUACUCAGUCUAAGAAAUGUAAUUUCGGAGCACAUUUUACAGAGUACGGUUGAUCUGUUUGGAAUGAGAUGUACCAAUCGGCAUUAGAUUUAUCAGAACCCUUCGAUAUCGUUGAAAAUAUGACACGGCGAUGUGUUCAACAGACUACCAGAGCCAAUCACCCUGCAAACACGCC
rnacentral:lncRNA from 1 species